AGCUGGUCUUAUGGUAGGGGGUUAUCAGAACUUGUUAACAUUAGCGUCACAAAGGUGAUAUAAACCCACACACACACUGCUAAAUUUGACUGGUUUAAA
rnacentral:Y_RNA from 1 species